GGAGGUAUACCCAAGUUCGGCUGAAGGGAUCGGUCUUGAAAACCGACAGGCGGCGAGAGUCGCGCGGGGGUUCGAAUCCCUCGGUAGCUCAG
rnacentral:tRNA from 1 species